AUCCAACUGACGCGUCCUAAAUAGAAUGAAACGCUCAUCCUGGAU
rnacentral:hammerhead_ribozyme from 1 species